rnacentral:lncRNA from 1 species
CUACCACAUAACCUGUAUUUUGCUGCUGCUGCUAAAUCCAUAUGGCUUGAGAAUCUUUGUUAUGUCAAAAAGAAGUCUCACAAGGCAAAUUCCUCAUCUUUUCUCACUUUCACAAGGAGCACAAGACUGGUUCUGUUGCCACAUGAAUGAUUAAAACCUGGAGGCCACCAGCUACAACAAGAUCAGCUCUGUGCUUCUUUUGAGAGAGGAGAACACAUGUGCCUGUACCCCCACCACACCCCCAUUACCACCACCACCAACAACCCUACCUCACAAUGCUAAGGAGGAAAAUGGGAUGUUGUGAAAAUUUAAUAGGGAAAGCAAACUGCCCUCCUAUCUCUUCUGGAAAGAUCAAGUUGUGGGCAUUGAAAAAAGGACAUGAGGGGGAAGGGCGAAAGAUCAUGUCUAUUCCUCUGUUGUUAGGGAACCAUUUACCAAAUGUUCUCUAUCGCUCCAACACAAGUCUUUCUUCUCCUUCUCCUUCUCCUUAGCACUGAGGAUUGAACCCAGGAGCAUUGUAACACUACAUCCCCAGCCUAUUUACGUUUUAUUUCGAGACAGGGUCUCACUAAGUUGCUUAGGACCUUGCUAAGUUGCUGAGGCUGCCCUCAAACUUGCCAUCCUCCUGCCUCAGCUUCCUAAGUCUCUGGGAUUAUAGGCAUGUGCCACUGUGCCUGGUUCGACACAGGUAUUUCCUA